UACAGAGGGGGCAAGCGUUAUUCGGAAUUAUUGGGCGUAAAGGGCGCGUAGGCGGCAUGUUAAGUCGGCUGUGAAAGCCUGGGACUCAACCCCAGAGGGUCGGCCGAUACUGGCAAGCUAGAGUACGGAAGAGGUAGCUGGAAUUCCCGGUGUAGCGGUGAAAUGCGUAGAUAUUGGGAGGAACACCAGUGGCGAAGGCGGCUCACUGGACUGGUACUGACGCUGAUGCGCGAAAGCGUGGGGAGCAAACAGG
rnacentral:rRNA from 1 species